GGGGCACGAACCCGUGUCCCCUGCAACGGCAGGCGGACUCUCAACCACUGCGCCACCUGGGAAGCCCCGAAGCGUUCCAUAUUUUAAAAAAUAAAAUAAAAUACAGGGAUUUAUUCAACUUAACAUUAUUGCUUUUUAACUGUAUGUUACAAACUUGAUCUUGGAGCUCCAACGGAAUUGCAUGCUUUCCUUCUCUACAAAGCAGAGGGCAGGAGAAUUUUACUUCCUUAGUGGAGAGCAGUAUUUGAGUUUAAAUCCUCGACUCUGAUACAAGAGAAUUGUGUGUGUGGCCAUAGCUGUGCAUAUUUUUUUUCCUCAUUUUUUUAGCCAUAGCCACUCUUUCAUAUGAAACAUUUGGAAGUAAAAUGCAAAAUUAUGAAAUCAAUAUAAGGCUUAGCUUUCAGGUCCAUGUGAAAGGCUGUUUAUGUUUGUUCAUUGAACAGAAGUGGAAAGCUUAGAUUUUUUUUUUGUUUUGAGAUAAACUGCCUAACUUCUUACCUGUAUUUUUUUCUCCUUUUUUCUUACCUGUAUUUUUAUUCAUUCGAUAAUCUUUACCAUUGGAAGGUUUUUUUAAAAAAAUAGUAAUAAUACAAAUUAUAUAAGUAUAAUAUAGUUUUAAAAUUAGAAUAAUGGGUCAACGUCCCCUUCUUGAGAGCUUUGGCUUACAUAAGGGAAAUCACCUUUAAUUAGCUCUUCCAGUCACUCAGUGUAAAAAGGUCGGAAAGUAAUCGAGCAUCUGUAUGUUUGUGUCUUUUUCUUAAAUACAGUUUUUAUUUAUGCACUUUUCUGUGCUGCAGUGCGUGGCAGAGAUAGGAGCAUUGUAGCAUGCAAGAAAUAAUUAGGUGCAUCCCCUUUUUGUAAUAAAUAGGUUUCCAAACAUUAGUAUGAAAAUUUUUUUUGUAAAUUUCAUCAUAUUUCAUAUACACCAUAAUGGAUGUGUAUAGGAAUUCGGUUAGGGAAUCCUUUUAACCUGUGAGUCAUCCUUCUGUUGUGUUAUUGUCCCCUGAACUAUAUGUUUUUUAGAUUUUACUUGUCAUGUAUGUAAGAAUGAGGUCUCUUGUGAAGAACAUACUUGCAUGGGGAUCAGACUCAUAUCAAAUUAUGGAAAAGCUGCUAUGUGUGAAAUAAGAUUUGAGGAAUUAGAACAUUUAACUUAAUGAGAAUUGUUAUCAGCUAAUUUUUAUUAGCUUUUGGAUGUGAUUUCCUGAUCCCCUCAAAAGUUUUCUAAGGGGUAGCUGGGGAUGAAAGGGUGGAUACCUUCUUUUUAUUGCCUCUUCUAAAUCUUUUCUGCCUUUCCCUUUCUCAGUUUAGUAAUUCACAUCUUAUUCUGUUUAAAACCACACAAGUGAGGUUAAACAUGUCUUCACCAUGCCAAGAGGCAAGUGAGUGGCUAGGGAGGGGAGUGAGUAGUAACUGGAUAUUUGACUAAAUUGAUGGAUCAAUUGUAAGCAUUGUGGUUUUGUUGAUAAGCUUUAGGUGAUUUUGGAAGGCUAGUUAGGGGAGUUAAAAAGUGGAACUAAAUAAAUAUGAGGUGGUCUUAACAGUAUAUUUAUGUAUUUUUUACAAAUUGAGAUAUAAUUCACAUACCAUGAAAUGUAUCAUUUUAAAGUAUAUAAAUCUGUGGGUUUUAGUAUACUCACAGAGCUAUGUAACCAUCACCACUAAAUGUGCUAAUUCUAGAACAUUUUCAUGUACCCCAUACUCAUUUGCAGUAACUCCUCAUUCCUCCCUUACCCAUCUCCUGACAACCAUUAAUCUCCUUUCUGUCUCUAGGGAUUUGCCUAUUCUGGACAUUUUGUGUAAAUGGAAACAUGUGGCCCUUGUGUCCAUCUUCUUUCACUUAGCAUAAUUUUUCAAGGUUCAUCUGUAUUGUAGCAUGGAUCAAUACUUCAUUCUUUUUAUUGCUGAAUAAUAUUCUAUUGUAUGGAUGUACCACAUUUUGUUUAUCUAUUUCUCUUUUGAUGGACAUAUGUGUUAUUUUUACUUUUUGACUGUUGUGAACAAUGCUGUUAUGAACAUUCAUGUACAAGUUUUUGUGUGAACAUAGGUUUUUCAUUUUCUCGGGUAUAUACCUAGGAAUGAAAUUCCUGGUCAUAUGGUAACACCAUGUUUAACUUUUUGAGGAACUGUCAUACUAUUUUUCAAAGCAGGUGAACCAUUUAGCAUUCCCACUGGCAAUAUAUAAAUGUUCCAAUCUCUUCACAUCCUCCCCAACAAUUAUUCCUUGUCCUUUUUUUUUUUUUUUAAAUAAUAGCAUCCUGGUCGGUGUGAGUUAAUAUCUCACUGUGAUUUUGAUUUGCAUUUUCCUAAUGACUGAUGAUGUUGAGCAUCUUUUCAUGUGCUUAUUGAUUAUUUAUAUACCCUCUAGGGAGAAAGGUCUAUUCAAAUCCUUUGACCAUUUUUUAAAAAUGGAUUUUUUUAAUUGUUGAAUUUUAAGAGUUCUUUAUAUAUUAUGGAUACUGAACUUUAUCAGAUAUAUGAUUUGCAAAUAUUUUCUCUCAGAUGAAGGGGUUGUCUUUUCAUUUUCUUAAUGAUAUCAUUUGCAGCAUACAAGUUUUAACUUUUGAUGUAGUCCAAUUUAUUUUUUCUCUUCUUUUUUGUGCUUUCAGUAUUGUAUCUUAAAGAACUCAAGGUAAUGAAGAUUUACUCUUCUGUUUCCUUCUAAAAUUUUUAUUGUAUUAGCUCUUACUUUCAGGUCUCUGAUCCAUUUUGAGUUAAUUUUUUAUAUAUGGUGUGAGGUAGGGGUCCAACUUCAUUCUUUGGGAGGUGGAUAUACAGUCGUCCCUGUAUCAUUUGUGGAAAAGACCAUUCUUCCCACCAUUGAGUGGUAUUGGCAUACUUGUCAAAAACUGGAUGACCAUAGAUUUGUGGGUUUAUCUGGAUUCUCAGUUCUUUUCCAUUGAUCUACAUGUGUACUCUUAUGCCAAAACCACAUAGAAGACUGUAGCUUUAUAGUAAGUUUAGAGAUCAGGAAAUAUGAGUUCCUCUUCUUUUACAAGACUGUUUCGGCUAUCUGUGUUUCUUGCAUUUCCAUAUGAAUUUUAGGAUCAGCUUGUCCAUUUCUGCAAAAAAGGCAGUUGGAAUUUUGAUAGGGAUUGCAUUGAAUCUGUAGAUCAAUUAGGGGAGUUUUUCCAUCUUGACAAUACUAAGUCUUCCGAUCCAUGGACACAGGAUGUCUUUCCAUUUAUUUAAGUCUUCUUUAAUUUCUUCCAAUGUUUUAUAGCUUUCAGUGUACAAGUCUUGUGCUUCUUUGAUUUAAUUUACCCUUAAGUGUUUAUUCUUUUUGAUGUUAAUAAGUGGAAUUGUGUUCUUAAUUUAUUUUUCAGAGUGUUCAUUGCUAGUGUAUAGAAAUACAACUGAUUUUUGUAUAUUGAUCUUGUAUCCUAUAACCUUGCCGAACUUGUUUGUUAGUUCUAAUCGAUUUUUGAGGAUUUUUUAAAUUGUUUUCUAUAUAUAAGAUAAUGUCAUCUGCAAAGAGAGGUAGUUUUACUUUUUACUUCCUUUUCUUUCGUCUCUUGCCUAAUUACCUUGGCUAGAACUUCUAGUACAAUGUCAAAUAAGAGUUGUGAGAAUGGACAUCCUUUUCUUAUUCCUGAUCUUAGAGGGAAAACUUCUAGUCUUCCGCUAUUAAGUAUAAUGUUAACUGUGGGUUUUUCGUAGAUGCCUGCGAUCAGGUUGAGGAACUUGUAUACCUAGUUUGUUGAGUGUUUUUAUCAUGAAAGGGUGUUGGAUUCUAACAAUGUGUUUUAAUGAAGAGAUGGGCAGAUUUUCUUGUGAGUUGAGUUCUUGUACUAUCUGUGUCAGGAAAUAAUUUUUUUUUUCUUUUUUUUUCUGUACGCGGUCCUCUCACUUGUUGUGGCCUCUUCCAUUGCGGAGCACAGGCUCCGGACGCGCAGGCUCAGCGGCCAUGGCUCAUGGGCCCAGCCGCUCCGCGGCAUGUGGGAUCUUCCCGGACAGGGGCAUGAACCCGUGUCCCCUGCAUCGGCAGGCGGACUCUCAACCACUGCGCCACCAGGGAAGCCUAAGUCUGACUAUCUUUUAAUGGACAGAGCUCCACUGGCAUUUUUUUUCAUGAGUAAUAUUGCUAACGUAGUAUUUGACUGAAUACUACAGUUCUCUAAUUUUGUACAUAUGCCCCAAGGGCCUUUGGUUAAUGGCUACAUUUUUAAUAAAUCUGAAGAAUGUGCUGGGUGAAUAUUAAUAAUCUUCAAUGGAAAUGCAAAUAUCAAACCUAGUGGAGUUAUGAUCCUAGAUUUUGGGCAUGCUACAUCUGUAAUGUUACAUGUUUACUAAAGAUGUUUGGGAAAAAAAGGUUUCAAAGAGGUGUACUUUCCUACAAAUGUAUUCAGUACUAUUCUUAACAACUGUUCUUAGAAAUAAUAGGAUUUCCAAUUACUAGUCAUCGAAUGCUUGAAUAAUAGCCACAAUUCCUAAAAUUUAUAGAGCAAUGUAAAUUAUGACAACUUUUUCUUAAGAAAUAAUGUACUAAUGUUUCGUAAUUCUUUUAUUUUUGCUUAGUACUUUUAUUAAGUAUUCUGAAAAUAAAUCUCUGACCCUAGUUGGUCAUCCCAAGAAACAAAAUUUGCUAAGAGAAAAAAAAAGUAUAACUAGCAUACAGUAUAAGGAAGCACGCAGGGCUCCAAGGUAGUAGGUAUUAAUUGUAAAGAUGCAGCAGCAGCUGCCUGACCAAGUCUGGCAGUUCUGAUGUCUCUCCUCCUGCCUCUCAGGGUUGGCAUCACUCUCAGCAGUGUGGCAUCUCUGCACCUCUUCCAGUAUCUUCUCUGCUUGUUGAUUUCCACUGGUUGAAUCUAUUCUUUUUUCCCUGUUCAAAUUCCAGUAUUAGCUUAGCCUUACCAUCACACAGGUUGGAGAGUGGUCUUCCAAGCUUGGGGAAAGCAGUCUUUUUGAGGUGGAGAUGUUGCUGUGGGCCGGGCAGCUAUAGGAAGAACCAUGAUAUGGUCUGCAGAGCUGCUGCACAGAACCACUCCCUGGGCCACCACGUUUAUGGUUUUGCUGAUUGGAUGUGAUGAGCAGGCAGUAGCAGGCACUUAGUGAUUGGCCUUGUCUGGUGUGCUCAAAGGAGAAAGCUCAGCCAGAGCUCCAGGUGCGGUUGUGAUUAGCCACAGGUGCAAGAGUGAAUGGUCCUGUGGACAGAAGCAGUGGCUGGUUGAGGUGUUAGGAGAGCAGGGAGCAGUGGGCUGAGUUGGGGGUGGGACUGAAAAAACAAAGAAGCAGUGGCUGGUUUGUGGCUGUCUCUAGAGGUGCAAGUGUUUGAAGUCAGCGGUAUGUUGGGUUAAUUACUAAGUAAGCAGGUUUCUAGAUGCCUUCAAACAAAGGAGCGCUUAACUUGGUAUUUACACUUACCACUCCUUUCCUCCCACCCUCUGCUGUUAACCAAUGUCAGGACAGUUUUGCAAAGAAUCGAAAACUUGAGGGUGCUUUGUGCCUGUUCCUGUAGGAAUUGACAGGAGGCUUCACAACCAGGUGAUGCCUGACAUCACUGUGGAAGUGGAAUUCAGUGGUUGUGAAUCUUUCUGGUUACUCUGUGUAUUCCUCUUUUGAUGGAAACUUCCAUUUUUCCAUCCACAAUCUUAAAUUCCUUUUGUUCAUAUGCCAUCAAGGAUGAGGUUACCAAAAUGUUUUGCUCUUAAAUUUUCCAAAUUUGGGAUAUUAUUUGUCAUUAUUGUUAUUAUUUAUUCAGUUACAUGGUCUAAUUUUUUUGAACCCCAUUUUGUUUUUCUUAUGUUGAUCUAAUAUAGAAAUGUAAUAAGCAAUUCCUGCUGAACUUCCUUUAGAACAGUAUUUUUCUAGAGUAUUUGAUUAAAGUAUUCGGUGAAAAUAAUUAGAAUAUUUUUUCUUGUUAAUAUCACCGGGACUUAGACAGAGGAAAUGAAUGCUGUAAUUGUCAAACUUAAAAAAAAAUUUUACCUUGUCAUUAGUUUACCUUUGUAUUUAAGCAUAAUGAAUACUGUCAAUUUGCAUUUUAAGGAAAAGCAUUUUAAUGUGAAUACAGUUAGUAAUCAGAUUUUUCACUGAAUGUCAUUGCAUCAAACCAAUAAUUAAAAAUACUUUAAGUUUUUGGACUGUAAGACUAAGUUUUUGGACUAGAACAGAAAUCUGGGGUAUAUUUUUUCCACUUUAUGUAGUAUUAAUCAUUUUUUCUCUUUUAGGGCCCCAAACUGAUGGCUUACAUGUUAAUGCACUGAAUGGCCUAUGACAGAUUUGUAUUAUCUCUCAUUUUAUACAGCCAUUGACUGGAAAUAUCCAAAGAUAAACGGUUACACUGUUUCUAACUUGAAAGUAAAGAAUAGAUCUACUUUUGUAAAGGUCAUAGAAUGUAGAUUUUAAAAAAUAUAUUAUAUAUACCAAGUUAUGGAUUAUAUUCCAUUUAAAUUAUUAUGUAAAGGGGUAUCUGUUUUGCCCUAAAAAGUACCUUACGCAUUCAGUCUUCUUUUUUUUUUUUCCAACUUGCUUAUUUAUUUAUUUAUUUAUUUAUAUUUGGCUGUGUUGGGUCUUUGUUUCUGUGCGAGGGCUUUCUCUAGUUGCGGCAAGCGGGGGGGCCACUCUUCAUUGCGGUGCGCGGGCCUCUCACUAUCGCAGCCUCUCUUGUUGUGGAGCACAGGCUCCAGACGCGCAGGCUCAGUAGUUGUGGCUCACAGGCCUAGUUGCUCCGCGGCAUGUGGGAUCUUCCCAGACCAGGGAUCGAACCCGUGUCCCCUGCAUUGGCAGGCAGAUUCUCAACCACUGCGCCACCAGGGAAGCCCACCUUCAGUCAUUUUUAUAUCACAAUAGUUUAGCUUUAUGUUAAAAAAAUGAUAGGAAAACUUUUUAUUUGAUGUAUUUUAAAAAUUUGCUUUUUCCUAAAUUUAAUUUUGCUCAGUAAACUCAUCACCUCACUAUCCCUCAUGAAACCAAGUCCUCUCUCUUUAGUUAAGAAUAGCUUGAAUUUUGGUGCACAUUUUUGCUACUUUCAGACCAAGUUUGAAGUAGCCUUAUAUCAAAGGUAGCCUUAUGUGGAGAGCCUUAUUGCAAAGAUUUUAGAGUAUUUAAUUUCUAGUAUUUUUUCUAGAAUUCAGAAUCUUGGGUAUUUCUGGCCAUAUAAGAACUUUGAGAAGAGUUCUCUAUUUAGUUUUUGGUGAAAUAUGUUAAGCACUUUGAGAAUGUCCUUACACUUUCUGACAAUUGUAUUUAUGUUAAGUAAAGUUAUACCUCAGUUUUUCUGUUGAAUUUUGUACUGUCAUAUGAUAAAGUUCACCAAUGAAUAAAUUGUUAUGUAUGUAUGUGAUAAAGAUACUUGCCUUAAAAUAGAGCACUCCUGUUUUGCAAACAGUCUACAGUCAAAUCGUCUUUCCAGUUACUAAUAUUUCUGUGCGCCUGGUGAAUGCAGGCCUGAUUAAGUCCAUGGAGGUAGGAAAGAAGAUGGAUAUCUUUUCAUUGUUAAUAAUCUGAACCUGGAUUAAAAAGUAUCUUGGACAUGUAAAGAUUUUAUGGAAAAAAUAAUAUGAGUGUUGUGUGGCGUUUACUCCUAAAGAUAGCAAAUGACUGAACAGAUAAAAUGCCCGUUGGUUUUAAUCAUUAUUUUCAUUGACCCUAUUCUCAGUAGGAGUAGUGAUUCAAAAAUGUGUAUGUCAGUUGUACUGUAUGGUCUAUACUUCUGCUGUGUAUACAUAACUACUGCUAAUUGUCAUCGUUAAUGGCCAUUGCCUUUAUCAUAGAGGGAUCAGCCAAUAGAGAGGGUAAUUUGAAUAGUAAAGAUUGUGUCAUAGUUUGGGAUUUAAGGUAAUAAUAAUUUUAUUGUUUAGAAGCUCUUUUAGGAAUGAUGGUUUAAAUGGACAUCACUUUUAUCUUCUAAUAAAAAGAUUCUUAAAAUCA